rnacentral:rRNA from 1 species
CUUGAAACACGGACCAAGGAGUCUAGCAUGUGCGCGAGUCAUUGGGAAUAACUAAACCUAAAGGCGCAAUGAAAGUGAAGGUCCGCCUCGCGCGGACCGAGGGAAGAUGGGCGUGCACGCUUGCGUGCCGCUCCGCACUCCCGGGGCGUCUCGUUCUCAUUGCGAGAAGAGGCGCACCAAGAGCGUACACGCUGGGACCCGAAAGAUGGUGAACUAUGCCUGGUCAGGACGAAGUCAGGGGAAACCCUGAUGGAGGUCCGUAGCGAUUCUGACGUGCAAAUCGAUCGUCGGAACUGGGUAUAGGGGCGAAAGACUAAUCGAACCAUCUAGUAGCUGGUUCCCUCCGAAGUUUCCCUCAGGAUAGCUGGCGCUCGUCGCCUACGAGUCUCAUCCGGUAAAGCGAAUGAUUAGAGGCAUUGGGGUCGAAACGGCCUCAACCUAUUCUCAAACUUUAAAUGGGUGAGAUCUCCGGCUUGCUCGAACUUAUGAAGCCGCGAGACACGGAUCAGAGUGCCAAGUGGGCCAUUUUUGGUAAGCAGAACUGGCGCUGUGGGAUGAACCAAACGCCGAGUUAAAGCGCCUAAAUCGACGCUUAUGGGAUACCAUGAAAGGCGUUGGUAACUUAAGACAGCAGGACGGUGGCCAUGGAAGUCGGAAUCCGCUAA